rnacentral:rRNA from 1 species
GAUGAACGCUAGCGGCAGGCCUAAUACAUGCAAGUCGAACGAUAGUGAGAAGCUUGCUUCUCACGAAAGUGGCGCACGGGUGCGUAACGCGUAUGCAACCUACCUUACUCAGGGGGAUAGCCCGAAGAAAUUCGGAUUAACACCGCAUAAAAUCACAGUAUAGCAUUAUACAAUGAUCAAAUAUUUAUAGGAUUAAGAUGGGCAUGCGUGACAUUAGUUAGUUGGCGGGGUAACGGCCCACCAAGACCACGAUGUCUAGGGGAUCUGAGAGGAUGACCCCCCACACUGGUACUGAGACACGGACCAGACUCCUACGGGAGGCAGCAGUAAGGAAUAUUGGUCAAUGGAGGCAACUCUGAACCAGCCAUGCCGCGAGCAGGAAGACAGCCCUCUGGGUCGUAAACUGCUUUUAUUCGGGAAUAAACCUAUCUACGUGUAGAUAGCUGAAUGUACCGAAGGAAUAAGGAUCGGCUAACUCCGUGCCAGCCGCCGCGGUAA